GACGAACGCUGGCGGCGUGCUUAACACAUGCAAGUCGUACGGAAAGGCCCUGCUGUUUUGGGGUGCUCGAGUGGCGAACGGGUGAGUAACACGUGAGUAGCCUGCCCUGGACUACGGGAUAACUUCAGGAAACUGGGGCUAGUACCGGAUAGGAGCUCCUGCUGCAAGGUGUGAGUGGGAAAGUUUCGGCGGUUGGGGAGGGACCCGCGGUUGAUGAGCUUGCUGGUGGGGUAGUGGCUUACCAAGUCUUUGACGGGUAGCAGGACCGGGAGGGUGACAGGGUACAUCAGGAUUGGGACUCGGCCCCGGCCCCUACGGGAAGGAGCAGUAGGGGAGGUGACUUUAUGGGAGGGAGGCAGAUCCAGAUGCGGCGCGGCCGGGAUAUCGGGCAUCGCUUUGGAUAGCAAUUUUCUCUGGGAUGGGACGAAAAUGACGGUAAUAGGUAAAGAAGCACCGGCUAACUACGUG
rnacentral:rRNA from 1 species